rnacentral:rRNA from 1 species
GACGAACGCUGGCGGCGUGCUUAACACAUGCAAGUCGAACGGAAAGGCCCUGCUUUUGUGGGGUGCUCGAGUGGCGACCGGGUGAGUAACACUUGAGUACCCUGCCCUUGACUUUGGGAUAACUUCAUGAAACUGGGGCUAAUACCGCAUAGGAGCUCCUGCUGCAUGGUGGGCGUUGGAUAGUUUCGGCGGUUGGGGAUGGACUCGCGGCUUAUCAGCUUGUUGGUUGGGUAGUGGCUUACCAAGGCUUGGCGGGGUAGCCGGCCUGGGAGGGUGACAGGCCCCAUUGGGACGGGGCUGCGACACAGCCUAGUAUGGGAGGCAGGGGUGGGGAAUAGUGUACAAUGGGAGGAAGCAUGAUGCAGCAAAGCCGCGUGCGGGAAGUCGUGAUUGGGGUAGUAAUGCGCUGCCGCCUGUGACGGAGCGUUAGUGACGGUACCGGGUAAAGAAGCACCGGCUAACUACGUG